CUAUUCUAUUGUCAACAAGGUUUGAAAUGCUUUACCUGACUUCUGCCACCAGGAGGAAUUCCUUCUUCUCCCCUUCUUCUUGACUGCUGAGGUUUCAUCAUCUCCUGCUUCUUUCUCAACUGAAAGAAUAAUCUGUGAAAUCCAUUGGUUCCUGCAGGAAUAAUUAUGCACCUCAGAAUGAUUUCAGAUCCAAAGUGACUUCCCAUGACCACUGACUCGCUGGAAGUAGGAAAGACCUGGAUGUGGAUGUCUGUGCUGGCUUCUCAAAUCACUGUUCAGCUCCUUCCCAAAUGAGCUCUGAAGAUGG